rnacentral:rRNA from 1 species
UACGGAGGAUGCAAGCGUUAUCCGGAAUGAUUGGGCGUAAAGCGUCCGCAGGUGGCUGUGUAAGUCUGCUGUUAAAUAGUGAGGCUCAACCUCAUAAAAGCAGUGGAAACUACACGGCUAGAGUGCGUUCGGGGCAGAGGGAAUUCCUGGUGUAGCGGUGAAAUGCGUAGAGAUCAGGAAGAACACCGGUGGCGAAGGCGCUCUGCUAGGCCGCAACUGACACUGAGGGACGAAAGCUAGGGGAGCGAAUGGG